GNGGCGCCACCAGGAGGGUGAGCCCUGCGGCUAAUUUACUCAACACGGGAAAUCUCACCAGGCCCGGACACCGGAAGGAUUGACAGAUUGAGAGCUCUUUCUUGAUUCGGUGGGUGGUGGUGCAUGGCCGUUCUUAGUUGGUGGAGCGAUUUGUCUGGUUAAUUCCGAUAACGAACGAGACUCUGGCCUACUAACUAGACGUUAGAUCCCUUUGUGGGUCUAUCGCAGCUUCUUAGAGGGACGGGCGGCGUUUAGCCGCACGAGAUUGAGCAAUAACAGGUCUGUGAUGCCCUUGGAUGUUCUGGGCUGCACGCGCGCUACACUGAAGGAAUCAGCGUGUGUUCCCUGUCCGAAAGGACUGGGAAACCCGUUGAACCUCCUUCGUGAUGGGGAUUGGGGAUUGCAAUUAUUCCCCAUGAACGAGGAAUCCCCAGUAGGCGCGAGUCAUAAGCUUGCGUCAAUUACGUCCCUGCCCUUUGUACACACCGCCCGUCGCUACUACCGAUCGAGUGAUUUAUU
rnacentral:rRNA from 1 species